AGCUCCAAUAGCGUAUAUUAAAGUUGUUGCAGUUAAAAAGCUCGUAGUUGGAUUUCUGGUACGCUGCGCCUGGCCCGCCUGCGUUAGCAGUGUGAGUGCCGGUUUUGCGCGGUUGCCAUCCUUCUGGGAAACGGGGCUGCCCUUCACUGGGUGGGCUCCGCGACUCAGAUCUUUUACUUUGAAAAAAUUAGAGUGUUUAAGGCAGGCAAUUGCUGUGAAUACAUUAGCAUGGAAUAAUGACAUAGGACUUGGGUUCUAUUUUGUUGGUUUCUAGGGCCGAAGUAAUGAUUGAUAGGGAUGGUUGGGGGUGCUAGUAUUGAGCGGCCAGAGGUGAAAUUCUUGGAUUCGCUCAAGACUAACUUAUGCGAAAGCAUUCACCAAGGACGUCUUCUUUAAUCAA
rnacentral:rRNA from 1 species